rnacentral:misc_RNA from 1 species
ACUAUGAUGGCGUUUGAGAAACCCGCGUGGCGUCCCACAAGAAAUUGGAUUUUCAAGAAGCAAUCUACUUCGGCUUCUUUUCGUGUCACGGAGAGCCCAAGAUGGCGGACUGAAGACAUGUCCGGCGUCCAACUGUCGCAAGAUAUCGGGUUUUCGAGAAGCAAUCUCCAUCGGCUCUUUUCGCGUCGUGAGACCAAGAUGGCACUCGGGAGGCCCGCGUGUCGUCCGACCUCCACGAGAUUUUUAUGAAACGAUCUUCUUACGCUCAUUCCGUGUCACGACAAGGCCAAGAUGGCGGAGGGAAGACCUGCGUGCUGUCCAACUGCCGCAAGAUAUUGGGUUUUUGGAGAAGCGAUCUUCAUCGGCUCCUUUCGCGUCGUGAGACCAAGACGGCUAUCGGGAAGUCCGCGUGCCGUGUAACCUCCACGAGACGAUGGAUUUUUAUGAAACGAUCUUCUUCGGCUCCUUUCGUCGCACGAAGAGCCCAAGAUGGCGCUAGGGAGACCCGCGUAGCGUUCAAUCUCCACGGGAUGGCAUCUUUUUAUGAAACGAUCUUCUUCGGCCCCUUUCGUGUCAAGGCGGGACCAAGAUGGCGGACGAAGACGCGCACGGCGUCCGGCUGCCGCAAGAUAUCGGGUUUUCGAAGAGCGAUGUCCUUCAACCCCUUUCGUGUCGCGGAGAGACCAAGAUGGCGCUGGAACGACACGCGUGGCGUCCCGCAGGAUAUCGGAUUUUCCAGAAGUAACCUUCCUCGGCCCUCUUCGUGUCACCGGAGUCUAAGAUGGCACUUGGAGACUAAGACGGUUCGCGUAAAAUGGCGGAUUCCUUGGAAGCGACCUUUUCAUCUCACGAAGAGACCAAGAUGUCACCGGGAGGACACAGCGUCCGCUUCUCGCAAGAUGGCGAAUUUUCAAGAAGAGAUUCCCUUAAGGCAGCCCUUUCUCGGCACGAAGGAACCAAAAUGGUGCCCGAAUGAUACCCAUCUUACAUCUCGUCCCGACAAAGUGGCGAAUUCUUCUUGUUCGGUCCUUCUUGUUACGCAAAGAGAUCAAAAUGGUUUCCGGAAAACACACGGGAUGUCCGGUCCCCGCAAAAUGGUACAUCCUUUGAAAGCAAGUAUCUCGUUUCACGGAGAGCCAAAAUGGCGUUCGAAAUCUCGAAUUCGGUCCCCGCAAAAUGGCAGAGAUUUUGGCUACCUCCUUCGGACCUUUUUAUUCCAUGGUAAAUUCAAAGUGAGACUCAGAAGAUGAACUCAACAUCUGCUUAUCAGGAAUAAUUAAGCGUAAUCCAACCUUUUAUUAAUCCAAUUAUCGACGGGUCACAAAUGGGGUGCAUUGGAAAAAACUGAUAACGAAUUAGAUGGACUUUAUACGUUAACAAAUGUUCCAUGACAGAUCGCAGUCAAUGUGUUCUCGCGACUCAGGAGGUAGAAAAAUCGUAUUGUUUGUUUUACAAAGCUCAAAGAAUUAUCAGAAUAGAAGAGAAUUUAUGCCAGUACCAAAUCAACUGCGUAAAUUGUGAUUCACUGUAGGAAACUGCGAAGCAACGCCCUGGCGGGAACAUUGAAAAUAUGAAAUACGAUUCAAAUCCCGUGAUGGAAUACCAAGAUGGCGUCCAAAGGUAAAAUUUGAGAAAUGUCCACUGCCCGAUGCGAAGUCGGAUGCUCCUGAUUUCUUUUUCUUCAAAUGUUUGGGAAGGGAAGAUGGAGUGAGAGGAAAUUGAAGAAGAAAAUGGCCUUCGGAUCAGAUGAACUGGGUUACGAACGAAUCAACUCUUACUGACGGACUGUGAAAUAAUGUUAUCUCAUUCCAAGGAGGUCUGCGGUGCACACAUAAAGAAAAUUCGUAAAAACUGAUGCAAAAUGAUUACGGAGGCACGCUUCAAUGCAAUUGUUUAACAAUGAAUCGUAUAGAAGUAACCGCUUUCUUUGAACUCUUUUGCAAACAUCAAAAUGGUACCUGGAGAAUUAACAAGUCGAACGCUUUUAGAAGAAAAAAAAGUGACAAAUCGUCAGAAAAAUUUAAUUCAGUGAUUAUACCGAAGAAUUUAUCAGAGCCAACAUAAACUAAUAGAUAAUUAUUGUUGAAUGAGAGAAAACUGACAGGGAAUUAAAACCUAAAAUAUUAAAACUAAAGGAAGACCUCAAGAUAAGGGAUCCUUAAUGGGAACUAGGACAUGACAAGGUUCCUUGUUCGUUCUUUCCAGAUUAGCAAGAAGAUCAAACAUAAUGCCCAAAAAAUCAAUACGAUACCUGAUCCUCAACAUGACGGACAGAAGGUGUAUCUUCCAAAUGCCAGAAAACCACCGAAGAGUCCUCAUUUCCCUCAAACGCUCCGAGAACUUCAAAACUUUGCGGAAAGAAGAUCAAAUUCAAAAAGAGAACGAGAAAGAGCGUUUGUUAUGUGUGAAUGUGCCCUUACUCCUGCACUCCUCCUUACCAUACAACUUUACAAUUACCUUUUUUUAUUACCUAUUUCUGUAUCAUAAAAUCCCGACAAUACUAAAGUUCCUUCUCGCCUGGAAAUUUCUUCUUCCUUUUUCUUCAUAUUUUUUUUUCGAAUUUUACGGAACGACUUGUAACAUUUAGCGAUACCGUACCCGUGAUCUCAUUACAUUUCCGACGUGAUCUGUAUUUUGUUUUUCGUUUUUCUAUUUUAAAACUGCCAUACCGUUUUUCUCAUAAAAUCCGGAUUUUUUUGUUUGUUCUUCAGUCUCCGCCGUUUUCUGUUUUUUCUUCAUUUUUUUUUUCUUUCGAAUUUUACAGAACGACCUGUAACAUUUAUCGAUACCGUAUCCGGGAUCUCAUUACAUAUUCGACGUGAAUCUGUAUUUUGUUUUUCGUUUUUUUAUUUUAAAACUGCCAUACCGUUUUUCCCGUAAAAUCCGGAUUUUUUCUUGUUUAUUCUGCAGUCUCCGCAACCAUUCAUAUCCCCGCGAAACAUUUUAGAUUGAUGGCUCUCGACAGGUGUUUUCAUUUUUCGACAUUUCUUUUCUAGGUGUGCCCGGUGCUGCUUCUUUAGAAGCUAUUGUUAUUGAGAAGGAACGCAUCUACUAGUCAGUGACUUUUGACAACGAAAUUCGUAAAGUCCACCGAAACGUUUGGUGGCACAGGAGACCAGCCAUGGGCAAACAAAACAGCAAACUCAAGCCUGAAGUGCUAGAAGACCUUAAGCAGAAUACGGAGUUCUCAGACGCGGAAAUUCACGAAUGGUACA